GGGGAAUCCUCCCUCGCCUCCGCCCGCGGCACGAGGUUGCGCGGUUACAGCCCCGGUGCCUCUCGCGAGCGGCUCUGCGGUCCAGGACUCGGGGCAUCCUCUGGGUUCGCUUAGUAAAUUGAGACCGGGAUCCAAGUGGCCCGGGGCGCUGCUCUAAGGAAGAUGCUGACCGCAGUCGGUGAUUGCGAGAGCAGGUGCACGCGUCCAGAGCGACAUCUUACCGUUGGCGCGAUAAACUUACAUUACUUUAAAAACCAAAAACAACAAAAAUUUAGCAUUAAGUCGAAAGGCAAAUUAAAUCCCCAGGACAAUUCAGUUAAACGCCUGAAGGUGGCCCUUAAUUUCCCAUUUCUACUAAUCAAGAAGUGGCUUGCGACCUCCUGAAGCAAACCCAAAUAUUCUCAUUCGGUGAUUAAGUUUUACCACCUCUACACCAGUUUUUAAAUCAAUUUAACCGCAAAGUUCAGAACCCAAGUGGCACAGUAAAUGUGUGUGCAUUUAUAACGCAGAACCUGCAUUCUUUCCCCAGCAACCUGCAUUCCAUUUGUCUCAUUGACCCUACUGCAUUUUUCCUUCGCAUCAUUAAAAAGGAUGUAAUGUACAGAAAAGCACAGACAGACCUAAACUCCAAUGCCAACCAUGCCAUCUGCUGAUUAUAAGACAGUGGCAGGAUAGCAGAUGUAAUGCCUAGAGCUUGAGGAGACAUCUUGCACCACAGUGUGGAAACCAUGCACUAGGACAAAGGGACAGCAAAAGAGAAGGGUUCUGGGUCCCUGAUGACUCGUGAAACCUCUACCAGCUUUAGAAGGACACCUCUGGACCUGUGGAACAUAAGAAAUAAAGUCAGUAAGCUACUCUUAUUUAAAAUGUUCUCAUUUUCAGCAGAACCUAAUCCUAAUCACUACAAAUGAGUAAAGGAGCUGAGCCCAUUUUGUUUGGAGUAGCCUGGGGGUUUAAGAAAUGGUACCAGUCUUGUAAGUCUCUGAAAAGCUAACACCUGUGUAUGUGAGUACACAUGUUAGGUGAUGUUCUUGAAGGCAAAAGCAAGUUGGAGAGAGAUUUUGGCUCAGUAUAAGAAAAGCUUUCUGCUGGGCGCGGUGGCUCACACCUGUA
rnacentral:lncRNA from 1 species